rnacentral:rRNA from 1 species
GUGGGGAAUAUUGCACAAUGGGGGAAACCCUGAUGCAGCGACGCCGCGUGAGUGAAGAAGUAUUUCGGUACGUAAAGCUCUAUCAGCAAGGAAGAAAAUGACGGUACUUGACUAAGAAGCCCCGGCUAACUACGUGCCAGCAGCCGCGGUAAUACGUAGGGGGCAAGCGUUAUCCGGAUUUACUGGGUGUAAAGGGAGCGUAGACGGUAUGGUAAGUCAGAUGUGAAAGCCCGGGGCUCAACCCCGGGACUGCAUUUGAAACUAUCAGACUAGAGUGCAGGGGAGGUAAGUGGAAUUCCUAGUGUAUCGGUGAAAUGCGUAGAUAUUAGGAGGAACACCAGUGGCGAAGGCGGCUUACUGGACUGUAACUGACGUUGAGGCUCGAAAGCGUGGGGAGCAAACAGGAUUAGAAACCCCGGUAGUCC